AGUGAACGCUGGCGGCAGGCCUAACACAUGCAAGUCGAGCGGGCGCACCGGGAUCAGCGGCAGAUGGGGGUGUAACACGUCGGAAGGUACACUUUGGUUUGGAAUACCGCUGGGAAACUAGCGCUAACACCGGAUACGCCCUUUUGGGGGAAGGCUUGCUGCCGUAGUAUCGGCCCGCGUCGGAUUAGCUGGUUGGUUGGGUAAUGGCCUACCACGGCGUGGAUCAGUAGCUGGGUAGAGAGGCUGAUCAGCCACACUGGGACUGAGACGCGGCCCGGACUCCUCCGGGAGGGAGCAGUGGGUAAUAUUGGACAAUCGGCGCAGGCAUGAAGCACCCAGGCCGGGUAAGUGAUGAAGGCCGUAGAGAUGUAAAGCUCUUUUGUCCGGGACGAUAAUGACGGUACCGAAAGAAUAAGCCCCGGCUAACUUCGUG
rnacentral:rRNA from 1 species